CAGCAGUGGAGGAGGAACCUCUGACCCACAGAGGGGGAGUGAGAGAGCAGCAAAUCCAGCACCCAGCUGUGUGUGUAUGAAGAGUGACCAGUCCAAGGAUGAUCCUCCUGUAUUCAGCAGUGGACCUGUGACCUCAGUCCUACGUCUGGAAUUUUGUGGUCUUAUAGAGGAAGGUUGUGCUGCUCUGGCUUCAACUCUGAGAUCAAACCCUGCAUCACACCUAUGAGAGCUGAAUCUGAACUACAAUGAACCAAGAAAGUCAAGAGUGAAGCAGCUCUCUGCUCUCUUGGAGGAUUCACACUGCAAACUGGAGAAACUAUAGUGAGUCACUGACUUACUGACACUAAGAUUCACACACACAUUCACAUUAUAAGUACUUUUCACUCUCACUGCCCCACAAGACUAUAUCAUGCAUAAUAUAAGAAUGUAAUACCUGUGCAUGACUUGUGUCAGCCUAUAUAUGUACAGAUUUCUCUCACAGUAGGCAGCUGGAAUCUGAAAGCAGAGGUCUUCUGCAUACAGUGCCAAUCACAAACACAGAGUACAUGUCACUGUAUAAUGAGAUGUGCAAGCCAAACUUGUCUAGUACAGUAUUUCCACUUGUGUGCUAGGUACUUACUGUUCUGUUUACGUGAUUAUGCUGUGUUAAACCAAUACUGUUAGUAGCCACCCUUUGAUGCUCUCUUCACCAACUUCAUGAUGUAGCCACCCCAUCAGUCUGGAAGAAUAAAUUCUCACAUACUGAGCAGCACUUGUAGGGUGAAGUUUUGAAUGACAACUAUUUGCUGAGGGGGCUUUUAAAAUUAAUCAAAUAAUGUUCUCAGCUCUCUGCCAUUCAGUUUGGGUUGACAUGAUUGUUAAUUUGUUAGUUUUUAACAUUUUUGUGCUGCUGUUCCUCUAACCCCAUGUAUCAUCAACUCUAUGUUUUACCCAGUCAAUACCAAUAAAAUAAAUACAAGCAAAAACAAACAAAUCUAAGAAAGUGUAAAAAUGAUUGUAUUAAAUAGACAGUUGUGAUAGUAAUGUGAUGUUUAUUGAGCCCCUGAACAAUGGGGAGUGUUUCUAAUUUGAACAGACAGGAAAAGCACACAAGCACACACUCCAUAUUACAGGUACAGUUCAGGUCCUUUCCCAAAGUUCUUCAAUGCUGGUUACAUGAUAGAGUAGUAAGUGUAUCAUUUGCAGGGGUGCAUUCAUGUGGAUAAGUUAUAUCAGUAUGCAGGGUUUGUUGUGUUUGUCACAUGCAGAACUGUGGCACCUCACUCUGGCCCUCCGAUUAAUUAUCUAAUCAUCACAGUCAUCACACACUUGGUGUUUCCCAGAAUGAACGACUUCUAAAUUAAAACUGCUAUGACUUAAAUCUGAUUUUUGGUCCCUCAUGCAUU